rnacentral:rRNA from 1 species
CGGGUGAGUAAUGCAUAGGAAUCUACCUAGUAGUAUAGGAUAGCCACUAGAAGUGGUGGGUAAUACUGUAUAAUCCCUGCGGGGGAAAGAUUUAUCGCUACAUGAUGAGCCUAUGUUAGAUUAGCUAGUUGGUGGGGUAAUGGCCUACCAAGGCAGUGAUCUAUAGCUGGUCUGAGAGGAUGAUCAGCCACACUGGAACUGAGACACGGUCCAGACUCCUACGGGAGGCAGCAGUGGGGAAUAUUGGACAAUGGGCGCAAGCCUGAUCCAGCUAUGCCGCGUGAGUGAGGAAGGCCUUAGGGUUGUAAAACUCUUUCAGUGGGGAAGAUAAUGACGGUACCCACAGAAGAAGUCCCGGCAAACUCCGUGCCAGCAGCCGCGGUAAUACGGAGGGGGCAAGCGUUGUUCGGAAUUAUUGGGCGUAAAGGGCAUGUAGGUGGUUUGGUUAGUUAAAGGUGAAAUGCCAGGGCUUAACCC